UUUUGUUUUAAUGGAAGUACCUUUAUCAAACAUUCCUUGUCUUUGGUUUUCAGCCAACCCACAAUAUCACAGUGACUGAUGCCCAAUAAACACUCAGGAACCAAACACAAGUGGCUGAAGGAAAGAGGUCCAGCAAUUUGGAGAAAAACCAAAAGGUCACUGGAAAGAAUUGUUGAUCAAAGAGAGUGGGAUCUGAGAUGGUUAAAUCUGAGGAUUUAAAUCUACAGAACAUGUUUCCCUAUGCUCAUGCAUCGUGACAAAAUUUGGAGCCUAACUUUUCCAGUUCUUGAUUUUGUUUUGCAAGAUUGGUCGGACACAAAUCUGGAGAAGCAAACAGUCAGCUGGAUUUGCCCCUCUCUAUUCACCUCUACUGAGAAGAUUUUCAGAAGCAGGUAAAUUGGAAAAGACCAUAACUUGCUGGGACAGAUCAUUCUGCUGUGGCCAGAAACAGUUAACUUACGAACUGCAGGUUUUCCUGAACACACUAAAAUGAACUGUAGAGUCAGAUUUAAUAAUUUAAGAGCAGGGUGAUAGACUUCCUGAAUGUAGAGGUCUGGGGGAAAAAGGUUAAUCAAAUCCUGGAAUUCAGAGAAAACAACGUUUAAAAGAAAUGCUUGUUAUUCUACUUCUAUUUGUAAAGAGCUGAAUCUAGCAAAGAUGUAGCUGGAUGUUACAAAGCACUGCUUCUUAUAAGUAGCAGUCACUGAGAAAUCAUCCUAGACAUAAAUGACUCAAACCUUCCUCAGGCUCAGCUGACAACAGGUCACAGAAACGUGGCUAAAACAGGACCCAGAGCUCUGGGAAGCGUGCAGAGUACAGGGGAAGUUUUGCUCCACGUCUGCAACAGGAACUUUAUGGUGUCUUCUUCUUUCCCAAAGACACCAGUACAAAUCCAGAUUAACUCGAUGUCCUGACACAGGACAGUGAUGCUCUAGAGUUGUUCCAGUCCCACUGAGAGCAAGAUAAAUACCAUAUAUUUAUUCCCAAAAUACAAUACUGCUUCUUCUGCCUAGAGAAAAUGUUUGUGUGUCUCUCUGCAGCUCUGAAUGACUUUAUACACUGUUAAGCCUUGCAUGUGAUAACAAAAAAAAAAAAAAAAAAAAAAAAAAAAAAAAAAAAGUUUUAAAAACUCCGGAAAGUUCCUGGCAGUAUAGAAACACAUCGUUGUACUGCACUGGGCAGGCGUAUAAAUAGCUAGAGAAGUGCUUUCUGUGCAUCUGGUGCUUUGCUGUGUUUCACCAGGAGAGGGUAGAGUUUGGAAAGGACUCCUGGCAGCCUAGGCUCCCUAUUGUGCUGGGAAACAGCGAAGGGAAAACAAGCACAAGUUUCUCCUCUGCCUGUUUGCACCGACUGACUAUGUGCGAGAGUCAGCAGAUGAACUCUGGAAGACCUUAAA
rnacentral:lncRNA from 1 species